UCCCGCUCCCAUAUAAACCACCCCUCCCCUGGUCGACGUCCUCACAAUCUGAUUUCAAAAACUUCGUCGACGUGCGUGCGUACUUGCGCCAUGGACGCCGUCGUGUUGGGUGACGUUGAUGAUCUCGACUUCGACUUGGGUUUUAUGGACGGGUUCGAGUUCGACCUGCUGGACAUGGACCUCACCGAGUUCUGCCACGGCGACGGCGAGUGCUUGCUGCCUGCCGUGGCCGAUAAGGAUGGCGGUUUGGGUUUGGAUUUAGGUUCUGAUGACGGUGGCGAAGGGGGGAGGGAGAGCUCGCCGGACUCCGUGGUGACGGACGACGGCGCGCCGCCUCUGUCGUUAGAGCCGUCUGGGGAUCGCGACGAUGGCGAGAUGUCGGCCUACGUGGGCGACCUGGAGAGGUUCCUCAUGGAGAGCGAGGAUGACGCGGAGGCCGGCGGGCCGUUCGCGGCCAAGGGGCUUGCCGCCAACGACCACUUGUUCGACGAUCUCGCUGUUGCGGACGGCGGUUACGUCCAGCCGUCGACUGCAGCGGAGGAGUUUGCCGCCGCGGACUACUUCUUGGGUGAUCUCGACGACGGUUACGCUGAGCCGGCGACUCCAGGGAAGGAUCUCGUCCUCGACGACUACUUCUUCGGCGAUCUCGUCUCGUACGACUACUUAUACGAUCCUGCUGUUGCGAGCGAUGGCUGCGUCGAGCCCGCGGCCGUUGCCAGCGUGGACGAUGCUGCAUCAUCGGCGACGGAGGAGGAGGAUGCUGGCGAGUACUACGACGACGACGAAGCGACCUCGAGGAAGCGCGCAAGGCAGAGGAAGGGCGGCGCUGCGGUGCCACGCGAAGCAGAGCUCCGGGAAACGCCGGUGAUGCAUGCCAUCUGGUCGAUCUCGACUGGAAACGGGUGCCGCCCCCUUGGUCACCAUUGGCUGCAUCCCUGCACCACAGUGUGCCUGUUGGCCUGAUCGAUCGAUGGAUCAACCUGCAGUUACGGCCCGUCUGGGAGAAAGAUCGCGACGGCGCCUGCCUCAGGUAUUCGAACCGGUAGGUGAAAAAUUCAGAGGAACAUUUCCCCGUGUUCUUCUAUGAUAUUUUCUGCCUUUCACACCAACCCGGCCAUUGGACGAUUAUAUAAAGUCAUGGGACGAACUAUAAACAACACAUACUCCUCUGUUCGGAGUAGAAAAUUUUGGUAGCAACUCUCGAACAACACGUUUACAAAAAGAAAAGAAAGCUUAGUUUUAUAAUGUACGAGUACACCUAAUAUUCCUCUUCUUGUACACAUACAUCCCGUGCGCAUUCCGGAUGUUAGUAGAAGUACAAGAAACCUUCUACUAGGUAGAGCAUGUCAUAUUCUUGUUCUCGACCGUCCAGAAUUUUUUUUCUCUGAAAAUCCAGUGAGCGCCACAAAUCGUCCAGGCUUGUGUUUAUUCAGUGUGGGCCGCUUAUAAUCUUGCUCGUACUGCUACCAGUUAAGGCUUAUUGAUUGGUGUACGUUUAGAAUUACAGGAAACCUUUUAGUUGGUAGAGCAUGGCAAUCUUUUGCUUUCUAAGCAUCGUCGACAGUCCAGCCCCCUUUUCUCUGAAAAAAAUGCCGUAAGCACCUUCAAUCGUCCAGGCUUGUGUUUUGUUCAGUGCGGAUAGCAUAUAAUCUGCUCGUGCUGUUCAUUUCUUUGGGUAGACAAAAGCUUCAAUGGUUCUGGCCCUGUGCAGUCCAUCCAUGGAAAAAUUUGGAAGCGACUAUGGUGUGAAUUGUGAUCAAUGCACUCAGCUGCAGCAACGAUUGUUUUCUCCCACUAAUUAUGAAGGCUGUUUGUGAAACAGUAGAACACAGUUUCCUGUAUUGUCAGUUUACAAAGGAAAAUUGGAAGGUAUGGACUCCGAAAACAAGGUUCCUGUAUUGUCAGUUUCCUUCAGAAUUAAGCAGUGGCUGUGGCUGUUACAAUCCUAUGGUCUCUGCGGUGUGAGUGUGGCACAUUUGGAAGUAGAGAUGAAACCAUAUAUCUGCAUAUGUUGAAUGAUCACAACAGUCUUUGAAGCCUAGAUCUUCUAUCUAUCAGUACCGGGAGACGAGACCAAGUACGAGGAUCAUGUUGAUCCUAUUUAAAAUGUUUACGAUGAGCAGAGUUUCGAUCCCACCGAGGACAUUUCAGGCAAGAUGAUCAUUAUCUUGGAUAUCACUACUGUUGUCUUGUUUUUAUUGAUAUAUCACGUUACCUACUACUUGCCUCCUAAAUUGCCAUAUAAGCUGGUUGGUGUGUAGAGUAAUGAUAGCUUCGAACAAUGUUAACCUGAUUUGACCGAGAUAUGGUGAGCAAAACCUUUCCUUAGGAAAGAUACAACAAAAAUGAAAGACCAAUUACACGAUUGCCAUCUGGCUGUCGUAUAUAUGUACAUAAAUAGUUGCAGUCCAUAAUUGUCUUGAUAGCUAGUUGUGUUGGCAAUCCCAUUGAAUUGAAUUUUCGAAUGAGUUAAUUUUUUUGCAUUGUUGUUUAGUAUGAGAGUGUGCAAGGUCAUAUGAAUUAUCUAAAUUGCCAAGAAAAAGAGUUUAAAUAUAUUUUCCCUUUGCUAUUAAAAAGGAUAUGCUUAACCAUAUAGAAUGUGUGUACAAUGGCUGAUAAGAAACUUUAUCUGUAAUAUAUUUUAUAAUAAACUUUUAUACUUAGUUAAACUAGCUAUAUAUAGUUUAAAUUAGUUUUUUUGUUAGUUAUCUAUCAUAGUUAACAACGUAAAAUUUUUGUCGAAUAAUGCUUAUAAUGUUCUCGGUUUGUUCUGUAGUUUUAAUGUAUGUCACUAAAAUUUUGUUUCUUCAAAAUUUAAAUUGCAUGAUAUAACAAAAUUUCUCUCUGAACUUCAAAAAGUUCAUUAACUACAUAGUGUAUAAAUAUAUAUUUGCAUGUGUGUGUGGUCAUAUAUUGGUAUCAUUAAAUAUCAUGAUAGACAUUUGUAAAGCAUAUAAUCUACCAAAAAUAUUAAUAGUGGUUUACACUUUCUAGAGUAUCACUAUUAGGUAUACUUAUAUAAACUUUUAGGGUAUGGAAAACGUUUCUUGCAAGUUAGGUUUAUUAAUAAUUUUACAACAUGUGCAGGAUUUGUUUAAAUAGUGCAAUUAUUGUAAUCAUAGAAGAGUGUAAAAAUUACAUAAUCUACUUUUGCAAACAUAUGAUUUGAUAUUUGUUAUUUUUAUGUUCUUUCAACCAAAUUUAUUUAAAAAAAACAUACUCUAGCAUUACUUGGUUUGUUUUUUGAGUUCCAACCCUGCCAUCUAUUUAUUCAAUGUCAUAAAAAACCUUUGAAGCAACAAGUGCAAGAUACAUUCUGGAGGGACAUUAUCCCACACCUGACAAAAUUCACUACUAACCCCUUGCUUAGUUAACACAUGUGCAAACAUUAUUUGAUGUCCGACGAGGCCAGCAAACUUUGAACCCCUGAAGCGCCCAGAGCAUCUUUCUUCAUAUCUUCAAUCAAUGGCCCUAUUGCCGAUGACCGCCUUGCUAUCCAGCUCCACAUGAAUCUAUUGCAUAUCCAUUCCCUCUGGUAGCUGAAGCGCCCUCCUGCAUGCUAAAAUCUCGACGAGCUCCGAGUUUGACACUCAUAGAAAAAAGUGACAAGCGCCACCUCGGAAAGCACCAGCGUGGCCACUAAUCAACACUCUACACUCCUGGAAGAAAGUGAGAACUGCCAUUCCUUGUGCUGCAUGCAACGUCCCCACCAAACCCACCAGUGGGCACACCAGAUCUUGGUCGUUGCGCCUUGGAUCUAGACUAGCCCAACAUAUCAACUCCAGUCUUCCCUGCACACCUUGUGUUCACUCGUGCGCAUCUGGGAUCAACUUCCCAAACGGUCACCCAUCCUCAAAUUGUCAAGCUCAAUAUACUUAAAUUUGAGGUUCCUUUUGGAUGGGCUCCCAGAAAAGAAGGUGCACCUUGUUGAUAUGAGUAGUCUAUAUCAUUUAUAUUAAGCUGUGGUGUCACAUACACCCUCCCCCCUCAAACGAACGGACAUCCCCAUCGGCCCAGUAGGAAUGUUCACACGUCUGUGUGUGCCAGUGCCAACAUCUACAUGGACUCAUGUAUGCAUCAUUGACCCUGAUGACCCACAAGUAUAUGGGGUCAAUUGUAGCCCUUUUCGAUAAAUAAGAGUGUCGAACCCAACGAGGAGCAGAAGGAAAUGACAAGUGGUUUUCAGCAAGGUAAUAUCUGCAAGUGCUAAAAUUGUGAGUAGCGCAGUAGUUUGAUAGUAGGAUAAUCUGUAACGAGCAAGUAACAAUAGUAGUAACAAAAGUGCAGCCAGGUAGCCCAAUCCUUUUGAGGCAAAGGACAUGCCAAAACGGUUUCUUAUGAUAAGCAAAGUGUUCUUGAGGGUACACGGGAA